CCCUCUACCCGCCGCGCCUCUGUCCCCCCAGGUCCCGCCCCCGCUCGGGUCGUCGGAGCAGAGUCCUCACUUUUCCGCAACCCCAGGCUUCGGCGCUUAGACUGGAAAGCGCGAGCCCUGAAGCGGUGAAAGGAACGGGUCUCCUAGCAUCUUCCAGAACUUACCACAGAGAAUUCCCAUCUUCAUUCCUUGGAGACUUGAGGUUUAACAAAAUCAGAGAAAUUCUCAGAAACACCUUCAAGAAACUCAAGAAUUUGAACACUCUGUACCUCUACAAGGAUGGAAUUCGUAUACGAGAUAAGCAGACAUUUAAAGGACUCAUCCUUGGAACAGCUCUCUCCCCGUGUUUACUCAACUGCUUAGGGACACAAGUGUAGAAGUUGGAAAGAAUAUGAACAUUUCAUGUCAGGCUCGGGGAGAACCAUAGCCCAUACUUACAUGGAAUAAGGUGUGGCCUUUUUACUAAGUGACGAUAUUGAAGCGACAUUAUUCCAUGAGAUUUCAGUCUAGUUUCCUGAGGUCGUUUGGACUGAGCUUCAUCUUCUCUCCUCCUUUUUACGGCCCGUUAGGCUGACAGGAUGACGGAGUUGCACGGACCCCUGUUGGAGCAUGAGGUAAGUUGAGGAUGCUGUUUGCGCUGAGGUUGGUAGAACAGAGGUUUGGAGACUGCUUCUCUGAUGAUAGUCACGA